rnacentral:rRNA from 1 species
AGUGAACGCUGGCGGCAGGCCUAACACAUGCAAGUCGAACGGCAGCACAGUAAGAGCUUGCUCUUACGGGUGGCGAGUGGCGGACGGGUGAGGAAUACAUCGGAAUCUACUUUUUCGUGGGGGAUAACGUAGGGAAACUUACGCUAAUACCGCAUACGACGUACGGGUGAAAGCAGUGGAUCUUCGGACCUUGCGCGAUUGAAUGAGCCGAUGUCGGAUUAGCUAGUUGGCGGGGUAAAGGCCCACCAAGGCGACGAUCCGUAGCUGGUCUGAGAGGAUGAUCAGCCACACUGGAACUGAGACACGGUCCAGACUCCUACGGGAGGCAGCAGUGGGGAAUAUUGGGCAAUGGGCGCAAGCCUGAUCCAGCCAUACCGCGUGGGUGAAGAAGGCCUUCGGGUCGUAAAGCCCUUUUGUUGGGAAAGAAAAGCAGCAGGUUAAUACCCCGCUGUUCUGACGGUACCCAAAGAAUAAGCACCGGCUAACUUCGUG